rnacentral:rRNA from 1 species
UACGUAGGGGGCUAGCGUUGUCCGGAAUCAUUGGGCGUAAAGAGCGUGUAGGCGGCCCGGUAAGUCCGCUGUGAAAGUCGGGGGCUCAACCCUCGGAUGCCGGUGGAUACUGUCGGGCUCGAGUACGGAAGAGGCGAGUGGAAUUCCUGGUGUAGCGGUGAAAUGCGCAGAUAUCAGGAGGAACACCUAUUGCGAAGGCAGCUCGCUGGGACGUUACUGACGCUGAGGCGCGAAAGCUAGGGGAGCAAACAGG